GCGAGAGUAGUAUAGUGGUUAGUAUACGACGUUGCCAACGUUGUGACCCGGGUUCAAAUCCCGGCUCUCGCA
rnacentral:tRNA from 1 species